AACGAACGUCGGCGGCGUGGAUUAGGCAUGCAAGUCGAACGCGAAUCCCUGGGCAACUGGGGAGGAGAGUGGCGAAAGGGGCAGUAAGGCGUGGGUAACCUACCCUCCGGGCCGGGAUAGCUUCGGGAAACUGAAGGUAAUACCGGGCGACGCAGCGAGAUCGCAUGGUCUUGCUGCCAAAGGUCCGCCGCCGGGGGAGGGGCUCACGUGGUAUUAGCUAGACGGCGGGGUAACGGCCCACCGUGGCAAAGAUGCCUAGCAGGUGUGAGAGCACGACCUGCGCCACUGGCACUGAGACACUGGCCAGACACCUACGGGUGGCUGCAGUCGAGGAUCUUCGGCAAUGGGCGCAAGCCUGACCGAGCGACGCCGCGUGUGCGAUGAAGGCCUUCGGGUUGUAAAGCACUGUCGAGGGGGAGGAAGCCGCAAGGUUGACCUAUCCCUGGAGGAAGCACGGGCUAAGUUCGU
rnacentral:rRNA from 1 species